rnacentral:siRNA from 1 species
UGCAUUUUUAGGUAUGAAUGA